AUUGAACGCUGGCGGCAGGCUUAACACAUGCAAGUCGAGCGGGGUGAUGGUGCUUGCACUAUCACUUAGCGGCGGACGGGUGAGUAAUGCUUAGGAAUCUGCCUAUUAGUGGGGGACAACAUCUCGAAAGGGAUGCUAAUACCGCAUACGUCCUACGGGAGAAAGCAGGGGAUCACUUGUGACCUUGCGCUAAUAGAUGAGCCUAAGUCGGAUUAGCUAGUUGGGGGGGUAAAGGCCUAACAAGGCGACGAUCUGUAGCGGGUCUGAGAGGAUGAUCCGCCACACUGGGAAUGAGACACGGCCCAGACUCCUACGGGAGGCAGCAGUGGGGAAUAUUGGACAAUGGGGGGAACCCUGAUCCAGCCAUGCCGCGUGUGUGAAGAAGGCCUUAUGGUUGUAAAGCACUUUAAGCGAGGAGGAGGCUCUUUUGGUUAAUACCCAAGAUGAGUGGACGUUACUCGCAGAAUAAGCACCGGCUAACUCUGUGCCAGCCGCCGCGGUAA
rnacentral:rRNA from 1 species